rnacentral:lncRNA from 1 species
AAACCCUUGAGUGAACCUCCAGAAUUACUCGCAGUUGAAAUCACCACAAGCAGAGUCACUCAGUGAAAGCAUUUAGCACUAUGUAAGUAUAUACUGUUAUAUGGGUUACUUUUACUUCUGUUAAUACUGCUGGUAAAAUACUUGUUACUCUAUGUUUUGUUUUAGAUAGAAAUUCAUUGUUGCUGAGUUUAACAACUCCUGAAGAAGGGGUUUUCCCCUGAAACAGGGUCAAAAAUACCCGGGACCCCUGUAGAGAAUUGGGACUUUAUUUGUACUUUACUUUUGAAGACUUUUUUGAGAGCGGUGCUCCAUCUUUAUUUUCUUCAAUCAAAUAUACAGCAACAAAAUAUCUGGGGACCCACAAGUCGAGAACCACUGCUCUAUGUCUAUCUAUCCUGAGCCCUCUCUGAUGUAAACUGAUACUCUUAGCGAUAUUUCUCCACUUCUUCUUCUCAUGAGCCCUCUCUUGAUCUUCUAAGAUAGAGCUAUCUUAAAUCAGUACCUUGAGUUAUUAUUCUGUCUUAGAAUGGUGCUCCUAUAAUAAAGCUUAGUUUAUUUCUAUGAGUCACUGAGGUGUUUGCUCCUUAAUCACAAUCUCUCUAACUGUUGCAUGUAUUAUGCGAACUUUUCAUAGUACAGGGGAGGCAAAUAGUCUUGCAAUUCACUUUGCUUUUAUAACUUCCUUUUGUAGACUUUAACUCUCAGAAAGAUACAUAAAAUGUUACCCUCAUCUUCCUUUAAAUAUGCACAUGAAUAGGAUGCGGUUUCUAAACAGUGUGAUCAACUGGUCAAGGAAUGGAAGACAUGCAAAUGUGUGUAAAAUAAAUAGACUGACCAUUUCAGUGCUAAUCAGGAGCUGCACAUUUAAAGAAUACCACUGGAGCACAUCCAAGCCAAGGUGGAUGACAAAAUACACUCAGCACCCAGCUUUUGUUAAGAUACUGAUGCUGUACUUUGGAGCUUGUGAAGGAGGAGGAGUAAAGGAGUGCACAAACUUCAAACAGUCUAAAAAUAAAACUUCACAAAACAGCAUGACAUGUUGGAGCAAGCACUUGAAUGAGAAAUGGAAUGUGGCUGAGCAAGAGAAAGGGGGUGCGCUAGUCUCGUCACAAGGUGGGGCCCAGAGGAUGCCAGUGAAACUCCCAGGAUAUUGUGAAGGGAUUAUGCUCCUCCCUGGACCAAAUGCUGGAGUAUUUCCUGGGAUGUGUGUAUGUGAUUGAACAACUUUGGCAAGGUUAUUUGGAAGUUGCCUGGAACUUUGGGAAAGGUAAUUAUGGGGUCUCUGCUUCUGGGUCGGGUGUUUGGAGAUCUGUUUUGGGGUUCUGGUGUUUUGAUAACACAACCAUCCCUUUUUAAAAGAAAAUUCCUGCAAAAAGAAUUUCCAACUACCUUUUGAAAAAUUAUACCUGUAAACAGAUCUUGUUGUUGUUAUAUGCUUUAUGAUAACCUUACAGCAAACUAAUCACAAGGGUUUUUUUUAGCAAGAUUUGUUUAGAGGUUUGCCUUUUGCUCUCUUCUGAUGCCAAGAGAGUAUGAUUUAUCCAAGGUCAUUUAGUGGGUUUCCAUGGCCAAGCAGGGAAUUAAACCCUGGUAUCCAAAGUUUUAGUGCAAUGCUCAAAGCACUAUCCCAUGCCGGUUCUCUAAACAGAUUUUGGGAGCUGCCUUUUUCUUCUUCAAUCACACAGUCGUUUCCGACUCUUCGUGACCUCAUGGACCAGUCCACGCCAGAGCUCCCUGUCGGCCGUCGCCGCCCCCAGUUCCUUCAAGGUCAAGCCAGUCACUUCCAAGGAUACCAUCCAUCCAUCUUGCCCGUGGUUCGCCUCUCUUGUUUUUUCCUUCCAUUUUCUCCAGCAUCAUGAUCUUUUCCAAGCUUUCCUGUCUUCUCAUUAUGUGGCCAAAAUACUUCAUCUUUGCCUCUAAUAUCCUUAUCUCCAGUGAGCAGUUGGGCAUUAUUUCCUGGAGGAUGGACUGGUUGGAUCUUCUUGCAGCACCAAAGUUCAAAAGCGUCUAUCUUCCUUCGCUCAGCCUUCCUUAUGGUCCAGCUUUCGCAUCCAUAGGUUACUAUGGGGAAUAUUAUUGCUUUAACUACGUGGACCUUCGUUGCCAGUGUGAUGUCUCUGCUCUUCACUAUUUUAUCAAGAUUGUCCAUUGCACUCCUCCCAAGAAGUAAACGUCUUCUGAUUUCCUGGCUGCAGUCUGCAUCUGCAGUGAUCUUCUUGCCUAGAAAUAUAAAGUCUGUCACUGCCUCCACGUUUUCUUCCUCUAUUUGCCAGUUGUCAAUCAGUUUGGUUGCCAUAAUCUUGGUUUUCUUGAUGUUUAACUGCAGCCCGGCUUUUGCACUUUCUUCUUUCACCUUGGUGAUAAGGCUCCUCAGCUCCUCCUCGCUUUCGGCCAUCAGAGUGGUAUCAUCUACAUGCCUUUUUAUAUAUUGCUAAUUCAGUUCUACUAAAGCUAAUGCAAAAUUAACCCAAGACACCAGUGAUCCGCUAAUAAUAUAAUUAAAGUUAUUUGCAUAUGGUUUCUAACCUGAUAUAUUAUAGGCAGUGAAACUAGAGCUGGAGCUGAAAUCAAUUGUGGAAUUAAUAUUGAUUGCAGAGAUAGAAAUGUAAUAAUUAACAGUAAUGGGCAACAGGACAUUUUUCAU